UGUGUGUGUGUGUGUGUGCGUGCUCCCUCACUUGAACAGUCUCUUCUUUAGCAGUUUGGGAAAUCACAGGAAAUCUGACUGUGACCUUGUAGUCUGGGCUGCAUUUCAGAACUGUGCUUUGGUGUAGUCUUACUCCAAUGCUAGGGGCUUUUCACGUUACCCAGUGUUCAGCAAAGAUACCGCAAUGAAACCUCAUUCUAGUCCCCAUUUCUGUUUAGAUGAGAGAGGCAGGGAGGUGUUUUAUUUUAUUUUAUUUUUUCACUUCUUAAAACAUACAAUGUAUUUUGGAGAAAUAUUCCAGGAAGGAUGUCACAUGUCCUGCCACUUCAUAAAAGGAACACAGUGUCUGUUUUUCUUUGUGACUCAACUUUGUUAUGUCACAAAAAGCUAAAGAGCUGCUCUGGGUCCUCAGAUGGUAUCCUUGACUUCACAGCACUGUGGCCAGAUUCCCCCCACCUCCCCAUGAACCCUACCCUGAUCCCCCUGUCCUCAGCUUCUCCUUCACGGGUUCUCUCCUUCCUGUGAUACAUAGCUGUUACUUUUUUCUAUCUGCUGUUGUUCUGCCUCCUACCUCCCCCUCUUUCCCACCCUGUGUUUAGAAUAUGAACAUUUAGAAAGAAGAGUAUAUAAUCAAUACUCUUGUUAGUAUGUCCUAAAUAAGAAUUAACACAGCAAUAAGUAGGAAAAUCCACUUCUCAUCUGGAUCUUGAGGUGGGAAGACACAAGACUUUAAUCUGGGCCACACCUUCUGCUGGAAACCUAUAUAAGGACAUGGAUGAAGGAUGCUUUUGCUUUUUGUCUGCUUGCUCUCACUCUCACUGACAAGCCCACUCCUUCCUCAUAAUUUGAGCUUUGUUCUUCAGGAUUCCAGCAUCUACUGAAGACAAGCUGAGACAUCCAGCCACAUUAGAAUGAGUAACAUCUGGAUUCUUGGAUUUUUCUGUUCAUAUCCAGUCAUUGCUGGAUUGUCUGGACCACAAAUGUAGGCAGAGAAAUGAAAAGGGUAGGGAUGAGAUUACAAACUAGGAGAACUGAACCAAAGAGGAAGAAUGCCUUCAGUUGGCAAACCAGAAGGUUGACAAAACACAGGUUAGGAGCCUGAAGGUAAGUUAACAGAAACUUUCCAACUCAAAAUGCAAAGACAAAACCAGUGAAGAGUGGAGUUUCGAAGAACUAUGAGACAAGUCCAGAAAGCCUUAACAUGUGCCUUGUUGGAGGGAAAGAGAGAGAGAGAGAAUGUGUGCAGGGAAGUCUGCAAAGUUACAGUGGCUAAGUGACUGUCAAAAUUAACAACAGACAUCCAAAUGUACACUGAGGAUCUUAUGGAGCACGAAGUAAGAUAAACAUUAUGUAACUGUAUCAAGGCAUCAUGUUCAACGAACAGAAAACCAAAAUCUUAAAGGUCUUUGUCCAACUUGUGUCAGGUGGCCACAAACAUUUUUAGAUGCUACAAGGGCAAAACAAGAGGUAGAAGAACCUAGAAUUCCACUA
rnacentral:lncRNA from 1 species